GGAUGUGAGGGUUAUCUGGCUGUGACAUGUGUCACCCCACUGAUCGCCAGGAUUGAUUCGGCUGAUCUGGCUGGCUAUGCAGGUGCCCCCUUCCUCCCUCACCGCUCCAGGUGCGUCCCUCCCAAAGCUGCGUCCUCGGUCGAAGAGGACGACUAUCCCCAAUAGAGGAGGACCGUUCUUCUCGGGUAAGAAUAUAUGAGCAGCUCUGCUCCCCUGCUGCAACCUCCAAACAAGCUCUCAGAAAAGGAAAAAUAAGACCUAGGAAUGCAGCUCUGGGCUCAGGAACCUGGAGGAGGGCUGGGCAGGUGAAAGCCGUGAAACUUCAGU
rfam:Camelus ferus unplaced genomic scaffold scaffold25522, whole genome shotgun sequence.